GCACUUAGGCGGAGCGGUAGUGUGAGGAAGCCUCCCGCCAAACAGACGAGAGAGGAAGAGGAGGGGAGGGGCCAGAGAGAGAAGCGGCUUUCGGGAAGGAAAGUGUGGUCUAGGAGGUGGAAUAGUCUCCAAACUUUGACCUGAGAAUGUCCCUCUAUUUGGAUUUGGAUUACAAAAGUUCAACAAUUUUUGGAAAAAUCCUACCUAGGUAAUGUGUCGUUCUCAGUGCAUCAUGUCAGGCAGCUUAUGAUGCCAAUUUGUCCCAUGGGAAGAAAAAUGUACUGUAUUUCACCGUGCUGACUGCAACUGCCAAUCAAGAUAGUCUGCAGCCUACCUGUGGACCUUGAUGAUUUCACAUGUUCUGUGGAAGAAUUUCUCCCCCACCUCCAAUGACUAUGGCAUUCCUUGGGAAAGUUAGCUUGGUAUUUACUUUUCCCCAGCAGGUCCCAAGCUGACAAAAAAUAAAAAUAAAAAAUAAAAAAUAAACAACAACAACAACAACAAAAUCACAAAACAACAACCAGUUAGCCAGGCUGUUUCAAAGGCCUACUGAGUUCCAUGAUAGCAAGAAUUCUAUGAAUAAUAAUGGGACAUGGAAUCCCGUGCAGCCUCGCGGAGAGCUCAGCCUAAUCACCCAGAAAUUCUGCUUCAUCACAGCCCUUUCUCUUGCCAUAAAACUGCUUGGGCUCUGUCUUUGCCUUCACAUCAUUUAAGCCUUUCUGCCCACCCUCCAGCAAUCUCAUCCCUGGGGCCUCCGCCCGUUACCAUGCUGGGGCUCCCCAGGGCUUCUCAAGAGGCUCUGUCAGCUCCAUCCUAGAGGCCUCUUUGCAGCACCAGAAGAAGUCCACACCUCCUCUUGUAGGACGUUCAAGCAACACAGGCCAGAGUAAGGAUCAAAGUAAAAGUCAUCCUAAAUUCACCACUGACAGAUACCACUGCCAAUAAACAGGAGACCGCUUUUUCGGAUGUCUAUGCAUUUAUA
rnacentral:antisense_RNA from 1 species